CGUCUGUGACUUCAGGAAGAGUUGUGGGAUGAAAAAUGGAGGGCAGGAACUGGGUGCAGUUUAUAAAUUCUUGGUAUGCCUUAUGGGUACUUGGUAGAUAGGAAAAGGAGAGGUUUUAACUUGUUUGUUCCUGAUAUCAGCAGGACUCUGAGAAUUCAGAUAGAACUGUAGGCUGGAAGAUGGACUUCCAGGACAUGGAACAUCUCACUGCUACUAGGAUUUUCGAUGAUCAGUUGUUAUCAACUCAAGAAGAAAGAAGAUCAAAGUUUGGAUACCUCAAUCCUUCUUAGAAGGGACAACAAAAUACCCAUGGAAGGAGUUACAGAGACGAAGUGUGGAG
rnacentral:lncRNA from 1 species